rnacentral:lncRNA from 10 species
CGCCCACAGACGUGCGGCUUGGGUGCAAAUCCUGUUUCUCUGGGCAGAGGCCACGCGGGGACGGAGGAGGCAGAGAGGACGGGCUGUGAUGGAGAAACGGGAGAGGAGCCGGCCAGGCGCCACCGUCACCACCAUCACCAACCACCACCACCAUCACCAUCACUGACUGUCGCCCAUCCCAGCUCCCCUGCCUCACCUCCCAUCUCAUAUCCCUGUGCAGUGCCAACUUUAUCAGAUCAUCUCUUUUUCACUGGGUACUACUUUGGAAAAGCGACAGAGUGCGCCAAGUCAGGAAUAAGUACAUCCGCUGUGGGACAUUUAUCUUCCCCUUUCUAUUUAGCUACCUCAAUUUUCUCAUCAGGAAAGGGGGCACAAUGGCAUUUCAUUCCUCUAAAUCACACUGAGAUGGCUGGGUUGCUUCCAGUUUUUCCAGUCCUGGCACUGGACGGUUAUACAUGCUUGGUGAUGAUGAUGAUAAAGUAAUGUCUUCAUUAAAUUGGACAGUUGGGAGUUUUCAGACUUACUCUUCUUUGACUUCUGAGUGUCAGUAUACCAGUAGCAAAUAGAAACAUAAGGAAAGUGAAACUUUGGCUAACAUAAUACCAAGAAUAGAUGCAAAACAGGCACUUUUGUAGGGACAUCACCCAAGAGACCUGCAGGCAAUGGUAUUCAUCUGCAGUGUAGAAAGCACCCCAUCAGUGCCAAGUGGCUGUGGGAGCUCCUCAAUCUGGAUGCACAGUUUCCCGUGGGGUUUUCACCCUACCUAAAGAAUGCUUUAAUUGCUGUUUUUCAAAAUUGUCUUUCACCAGGCCCCAGGGACGGCUGACCAUUCAGAACAAACACAGGGACAGAGCCCCAGGGCUGUUGGGAAGCCCAGCACCAGAGGGCAUGAACCUUCUUAGGAGAAGUAAAACUUACAAAAAACAAGCUCUUAAACCCUCCGCCUUUUCCCCUAUUGGUUAGAAAGUGAAUCUUAAACUGUGUUUUAUGUUCUAGUCUAAUAAAAGACAGCUAGACAAGCCUACGUUUCUUGACAUGCUUGGAAAAUCAUCUUCCCGAAAAGUCAUGCAGCAGGGCUUUUUUUUUUUUUUUUUCGACUGAGUCUCACUCUGCCUCUCAGGCUGGAGUGGAGUGGCAUGAUCUCAGCUCAGUGCAACCUCUGCCUCCCGGGUUCAAGUGAUUCUCCUGCCUCAGCCUCCCGAGUAGCUGGGAUUACAGGCGUGGGCCACCAUGCUUGGCUAAUUUUUGUAUUUUUAGUAGAGACAGGGUUUUACCAUGUUGGCCAGGCUGGUCUCGAACUCCUAACCUCAGGUGAUCCGCCCGCCUCGGCCUCCCGAAGAGUUGGGAUUACAGGCGUAAGCCACCACGCCCAGCCAGGGCUCCUUUUUAAUAGGGCUAUGGAGUCCCCCACCUGGUGGUUUUUUUGCCCUGUGCCCUGUUUUUACAAUUCAAGAAGGAAAGUGAUCAUAUUAAAAAUAAUGUGAACCCAGCUGAGCUGCAUUUGUCGUUACCAUAGUUUAAGAUUUCUCAAAUGUUGAAGUAUAAUUAUAUGUCAUUAACUCAAACCUCUCUAAUUUGUGAAGUAGGGUUUUAAAUAGGGUAUGUAAUUCUGUGGAGAAUGACUCCGAAAUCAUUCUGAGGACCUGAAGUUUAAGUAAGGCAUAGUCAGUCUAAAACAAUGACAUUGUCAGAACGAAGACUUAAAGAAUUAUUUAGCUAUGUUUUUAAUUCUGGAUCUUUAGGAAAUAAUUAGCAUCUCAAGGAAGCUUCAUGCCAAUGAUAGUGUCUUAGUCUUUUGGGUCUGCUAUCACAAAAUGCCUUAGACUGGGUGAUUCUGAACAAGAGAAAGGUAUUGCUCACAGUUCUUGAGUCUGGCAAGUCGUGGAUCCAGGUGCUGUGGAUUCAGUGUCUGGUGAGGGCUAGCUCUCUGCUUCAUAGAUGGCACCUUCUAUGUGUCCUCACAUGGUACAUGGGGCACACAGGCUCCCUUGGGCCUCUUUUAUAAGGGCACUAAUCCCAUUCAUGACAUGGGGCGUUCAGAAGCUAAUCUCCUAAAGUCCCACCUCUUGAUACUGUUGCCUUGGGGAUUAGGUUUCAACGUAUGAAUCUGUGGGGACACCAACAUUCAGACUGUGACAGGUUGGCAUUGAGUACCAAGUUAUAUCCAACACGCAUUGUUUUAGCCCAUACAAAUUGUUAUAGCCUAUACUAAUUCUAUGUUAAUUUAGGAACAAUUCAUUUGCUUUUGUUGAGAUAUGAUUUACAUACAUAAAAUGCACAACUCUUCAGUGGACAGCUUGAUGAAUUUUUGCCUAUGUGCCCCCUGCAAUAAGAUACAGCCUAUUUCCACAGGCCUAAGGGAUCCCCUGAUGCCCUUUCUAGUCAGUACCCCCCCAACAGAGCCACUAUCCCUUCAAUGGAGCCACUAUUGGACUUCUAUCAACAUAGAAAAAUAAUUUCUUUUAAAAUAAUUUCUAAGUAAUUUAUUUUGCACUUCACUCCAUUAAAUGCAAUUGGCCUAUUCCUUAAAUGCAUUUGGCCUAUUCCAUUUAUGACCAAAUCUGGGGGCCCUGAGCCCAGUGCUGUGUAGACAUGAGACUGUGUAGACCUGAGACAUGGUAUUAUUAAUACAUAAGGCAAAAACUUCCACAAGCAGAAGCAAUACCCUGUAUGCAGAUACAGAGGGUUAGGGGAACCCACAAGAGUCUGGGUCUAACCCAGUUUUGUUUUGUUUGUGGGGGGAAAGGGAAGGCUUUUUGGAGGAUGUGAAUUUUAAGUUGAAAAUGGAAAACUGAGUAGAAGUGAUCCAGCUAAAACGUGGUAGGAGGAAAAUGAAAGCCUAUUCUAGGUGGAAGGAACAUCUUGAAUUCCAGCCUCAGAAAUAAGACAGCAUGGAGUGUUUGAAGAGCAAAGCUAAGCUGAAGAUGCUUGGAGUAUAGGGCUGUGGGAGAAAAGUGGGAAAUAAUGCUGGAAAGGCCAUAGGGACCCUUUCAGUUUGACACAAAGGCCCUGCUGAGGGGUGGGGCUUGGCUGUAAGAGCUAGGAGAGCUCUAGGACAGGCUUGCGUGGUGGGCAUGGCAGGAGGAGACUUGAGGACUCAGCAGGCGGCCUUAGGGUCGGGAGAUUACAGGAGGCGCAGGUGGGGGGCCAAGUGGUCAUUCAGGUAAGAGACAGUGGUGACCUGGACUAUGCAGUGGCAACAGGAAUGGGGAGAAAUGAAUGAAAUGGAAAGAGAAUUACAAGGUAAAAUGAACACAAAUUGAUGUUUGCUAGGUGAGAAUUCAAGGAUAGCCCUUAGGUUUCUUGGAUCUUACAAAAUGGAUGGAUAAUGGUACUCUUGGAGAGAUGAGAGAAGAAUCUUGUAUAUAUUAUAUGCUCCUUUGGUAUGUUUCUUUCUGUGUGGACUUAGUUUCGGUUGCAAGUUAGUGUGAUGCAUUCAGGUAGAAAUAUCUACUGGGGAGUUGUAACUCAUACUGACUGAGCACACUCCAUAUGCCAGGCAUGCUCCGUCACUUAGGAUGCAGUUGUGAACAAGACGAUGAAAACCCUGCCUUUGUGAAACACAGGUGGGAGCUGCAGCCUGGGGACCCACAAGGUUUAAGUGGUGACAGAAGGCUUCAGAGUGAAUGAGAUGGCUCAGUCAGAUUUCAGUGAAAGAGCAGCAGCCCAGGAUAAAAUCUCAAGAACGCUAAGAGACUAAGAAGGAACAAAGGAGAGAUGGCAAGGAAAGCAAGAGAAGUUGGGCUUCACAGGCCUAGGGAGUGAUCCCUAGUGUCAUACACAACUGUGAAGUUAAGGGAGAUGAGGACUAGAGAUGAUCUACUGCAGUGCUUCUCAAAGUGGGGUCCCCAGACCAGCAGCAGCAGCACCAGGAGCUUGUUGCAAUUGCAGUUUCUUGAGAUCUACUCCAGACCUGGUGACUCUGGGAGCUCUGAGGGAAGGGCCUAGCAAUCUAUGUUUUAACAAGGUUUCCCAGUGAUCCUGAUGCAUGCUAAUGUUUGAGCACCACAGCUCUAUUGUGUUAAUUGAUAAGUCACUGGUGAUGCAGCAACUUGGUGAAAAUAACUUCAUAAAAUUUACACCCUGUUUGGGCAAAUUUUAAAAAUGUUUCGUGGGACUGUUAAAGUUUUAUUCUAUUUGUUUAGAAAUUUCAAAUGUUUUAUUUUCUUUUGCAAUAAAAAUGUUGUUAUUUUCUUUUGUACAGUUUGGGUUUUUUUCCCCUCUUUGAUUAUUCAUUGACAGUUGAUCCAUAUUUUUUUCCCAUCUGUUCAGAUUUUUGAAGUUUCAUUCCUAUCUCCUUUGAAACACAUCACUUUACAGGGUCUCAACAUGUUAGGGCACCUGCAUCAUUGAUAUUGGUUCAUUGCCCAAAACAGAGUGCAAUCAUAAAGAUAAGUGAGUCUCAACUCUGAAUGGCAGCCUGAGAAAACACCUAGAUGGUUAAUUCAGCUCUUCCAAAAAGUUCCAAGACCCUAUUAGGGAUAUAUUUCUAAUUAUUUGAGCUUGUUACUCAUGAGAAGU